rnacentral:rRNA from 1 species
AUUGAACGCUGGCGGCAUGCUUUACACAUGCAAGUCGAACGGUAACAGGCCGCAAGGUGCUGACGAGUGGCGAACGGGUGAGUAAUGCAUCGGAACGUGCCCCGUCGUGGGGGAUAACUACUCGAAAGAGUAGCUAAUACCCCAUACGAUCUAUGGAUGAAAGCGGGGGACCGUAAGGCCUCGCGCGCUUUGAGCUGCCGAUGUCAGAUUAGGUAGUUGGUGGGGUAAAGGCUCACCAAGCCAACGAUCUGUAGCUGGUCUGAGAGGACGACCAGCCACACUGGGACUGAGACACGGCCCAGACUCCUACGGGAGGCAGCAGUGGGGAAUUUUGGACAAUGGGCGCAAGCCUGAUCCAGCAAUGCCGCGUGCAGGAAGAAGGCCUUCGGGUUGUAAACUGCUUUUGUACGGAACGAAACGGAGCUGGUUAAUACCCGGGGCUAAUGACGGUACCGUAAGAAUAGGCACCGGCUAACUACGUG